UACAGAGGGUGCGAGCGUUAAUCGGAAUUACUGGGCGUAAAGCGCGCGUAGGCGGCUUUGCAAGUCGGGUGUGAAAUCCCCAGGCUUAACCUGGGAACUGCAUUCGAGACUGCAUUGCUAGAGUAUGGGAGAGGGAAGUGGAAUUUCCGGUGUAGCGGUGAAAUGCGUAGAUAUCGGAAGGAACAUCAGUGGCGAAAGCGACUUCCUGGACCAAUACUGACGCUCAUGUGCGAAAGCGUGGGGAGCGGAACAGG
rnacentral:rRNA from 1 species